AGAAUUUUUACCCGUCGUUAUUAGGUUGUCAUAAAAGAUACAAAUUUUUGUAGUGUGCUCAGGCAAAAAUUAUUAAGGUCAAUUCAAGAUUCUAUGUACCAUUGAUAUUAUGAUGUUUUUGAAGCCUAACAUUGGUUAUCACCCUAACAUUCGCUUUAUCUCCUGUAAGAUAACAACUACAACCAAUAGGUGCUUUGGCAUGCUAAUAACCAGUGGAUACAAGGUUAUGCAAGCAAGGUCAUCUCGUCAAACAAGGUGUCGACACAAGAAGAUCCUACUAUCCUCUCGAUUGUCAAUGCUUUUUAUUUUUGUUGAACUACAAGUGUGUGUUGUAUUGGUCUCUAAAAACUCUAAUAGUGUUCUAGUUUAUUUUGUUGGACUUUCUUUAAUUAUUGUAUAUAAGUUAAUGCAAAUAUUUAAAAUAUUGUGAUAUGAUAUGGUUUUGAAGAAAAAAAAAUACGGAGCAAUUAGUUGCAAUCCAGUAGUCUCUAACUUGGUCUUCGGAAUCGUACCGGCCCCUGUGUUGUCCAGAACGUUUCGAAAGAGUAGAAGUGUUAGAGAUUCAGACAAGGUUCACAACAUGGUUGCGAAUUCUGGUAACGACUACAAGGAAGAAAUCCCCGGCAGCUAAUGAGCUAAUCUAGCUCAUACCUACCGGGAAAAUCGAUUAUAUAUUGUCCUUUGUUGGCUUACCGAGGAAUUAAAAGGACCUGGGGUCUCCGCGAGUUUGGUUGGGUUAUAGAGUCGGAGUAGCGAACAUCUGAGAACUUCGUGUUGUAAGACGACAAGUUGGUAGCUAAGCUUUUGGGGUGAAGUUGCGCUCACGCGGGUGAAACGGGAAGAUGUGGCAUUUGGAAGUGUUGAUGUUGGUUUUGUUAGUUGGCUUAAUAGCUUGGGUUGAAUGGAUCUUCUUGAGUUAUAAUCGAGCUAGGGUUCCCUUACCGCUGUUUAAAGGCAGGGAAAAGCUCUUUUUUCUAUUCCUAAUAACAAAGCUAAGGUCCUGGCCAAAAUUGUUUACAAUUUUAAUACAAUGUAUCAAUAUGAAGUAGAAUAUGAAAAAAGAAUCUACAUAGACGGUUUUUGAAGAACCUUUUUUCUGGUGUUCUUUCUCUCUCUCAAAAAACCUCUCCCCUUUCUCUAAGAAAGAAAGCCCCCAAACCCUAGACCCAUUUGUUCGUCAUUGACCUGAGUUCGCUGCUCGAUUCGGGUCGUCGGUGAGCAUCGUCGGUGUGUUAUCUCGGUGGAGAAGUAAAGAGGAUCUAAGUUAUAAUUUCCACCUCCUUUUAGAUUGAAGCACUUCUCACUGACUUAUACUACCUUCGUUUCAAAAAGAGCUUUACACUUACUAUUUGCACGACCUCCGGUGCAAUGUUUGACUGUUAAUAUAUCAAAUUAUGUAUGACAAAAAUUAUAAAAGUUGAUAUUCAUAAAA